CCUACGGGUGGCAGCAGUGAGGCAUAUUGGUCAAUGGCCGGAAGGCUGAACCAGCCAUGCCGCGUGAAGGUCAGUGCCCUAUGGGCGUUAAACUUCUUUUGUGCGGGAGCAAUAAUGGUCACGUGUGGCCAGACGAGAGUACCGUACGAAUAAGCAUCGGCUAACUCCGUGCCCGCAGCCGCGGUAAUACGGGGGAUGCAAGCGUUAUCCGGAUUUAUUGGGUUUAAAGGGUGCGUAGGCUGUGAGGUAAGUCAGCGGUGAAAUGCCCCCGCUCAACGGGGUGAAGUGCCAUUGAUACUGCCUGGCUGGAAUGCGGAUGCCGUGGGAGGAAUGUGUGGUGUAGCGGUGAAAUGCAUAGAUAUCACACAGAACACCGAUUGCGAAGGCAUCUCACGAAUCCGCGAUUGACGCUGAUGCACGAAAGCGUGGGUAUCAAACAGGAUUAGAUACCCCUGUAGUC
rnacentral:rRNA from 1 species